GAUGAACGCUGGCGGCGUGCCUAAUACAUGCAAGUCGAGCGAACAGACGAGGAGCUUGCUCCUCUGACGUUAGCGGCGGACGGGUGAGUAACACGUGGAUAACCUACCUAUAAGACUGGGAUAACUUCGGGAAACCGGAGCUAAUACCGGAUAAUAUAUUGAACCGCAUGGUUCAAUAGUGAAAGACGGUUUUGCUGUCACUUAUAGAUGGAUCCGCGCCGCAUUAGCUAGUUGGUAAGGUAACGGCUUACCAAGGCAACGAUGCGUAGCCGACCUGAGAGGGUGAUCGGCCACACUGGAACUGAGACACGGUCCAGACUCCUACGGGAGGCAGCAGUAGGGAAUCUUCCGCAAUGGGCGAAAGCCUGACGGAGCAACGCCGCGUGAGUGAUGAAGGUCUUCGGAUCGUAAAACUCUGUUAUUGAGGAAGAACAAAUGUGUAAGUAACUAUGCACGUCUUGACGGUACCUAAUCAAAAAGCCACGGCUAACUACGUG
rnacentral:rRNA from 1 species